CCUACGGGAGGCAGCAGUGGGGAAUAUUGGGCAAUGGGCGCAAGCCUGACCCAGCAACGCCGCGUGAAGGAAGAAGGCUCUCGGGUUGUAAACUUCUUUUAUCAGGGACGAAGCAAGUGACGGUACCUGAUGAAUAAGCCACGGCUAACUACGUGCCAGCAGCCGCGGUAAUACGUAGGUGGCAAGCGUUAUCCGGAUUUACUGGGUGUAAAGGGCGUGUAGGCGGGAAAGCAAGUCAGAUGUGAAAACCCUGGGCUCAACCUGUGGCCUGCAUUUGAUACUGUUUUUCUUGAGUACUGGAGAGGCAGACGGAAUUCCAGGUGGAGCGGUGAAAUGCGUAGAUAUUAGGAGGAACACCAGUGGCGAAGGCGGUCUGCUGGACAGCAACUGACGCUGAGGCGCGAAAGCGUGGGGAGCAAACAGGAUUAGAUACCCGGGUAGUC
rnacentral:rRNA from 1 species